UACGAAGGGGGCUAGCGUUGCUCGGAAUCACUGGGCGUAAAGGGUGCGUAGGCGGGAUCUUAAGUCAGAGGUGAAAGCCUGGAGCUCAACUCCAGAACUGCCUUUGAUACUGGGAUUCUUGAGUUCGGAAGAGGUGAGUGGAACUGCGAGUGUAGAGGUGAAAUUCGUAGAUAUUCGCAAGAACACCAGUGGCGAAGGCGGCUCACUGGUCCGAUACUGACGCUGAGGCACGAAAGCGUGGGGAGCAAACAGG
rnacentral:rRNA from 1 species